rnacentral:tRNA from 1 species
GGUGGCUCAGUGGUAGAGUACUUGUCUUGCAUGCACGAGGCCCUGGGUUCAAUUCCUCAGCACCA